rnacentral:rRNA from 1 species
AUUGAACGCUGGCGGCAUGCCUUACACAUGCAAGUCGAACGGCAGCACGGGAGCAAUCCUGGUGGCGAGUGGCGAACGGGUGAGUAAAGUAUCGGAACGUGCCCAGUCGUGGGGGAUAACGUAGCGAAAGUUACGCUAAUACCGCAUACGAUCUAUGGAUGAAAGCGGGGGAUCGCAAGACCUCGCGCGAUUGGAGCGGCCGAUAUCAGAUUAGGUAGUUGGUGGGGUAAAGGCUCACCAAGCCGACGAUCUGUAGCUGGUCUGAGAGGACGCCCAGCCACACUGGGACUGAGACACGGCGCAGACUCCUACGGGAGGCAGCAGUGGGGAAUUUGGGACAAUGGGCGAAAGCCUGAUCCAGCCAUGCCGCGUGCAGGAUGAAGGCCUUCGGGUUGUAAACUGCUUUUGUACGGAACGAAAAGGUUUGGCCUAAUAAGCUGAGCUCAUGACGGUACCGUAAGAAUAAGCACCGGCUAACUACGUGCCAGCAGCCGCAGUAA